AUACGUAGGGAGCAAGCGUUGUCCGGAUUUACUGGGUGUAAAGGGCGUGUAGGCGGAAAAGCAAGUCAGAUGUGAAAUCUCUGGGCUUAACCCAGAAACUGCAUUUGAAACUGCUUUCCUUGAGUAUCGGAGAGGCAGGCGGAAUUCCUAGUGUAGCGGUGAAAUGCGUAGAUAUUAGGAAGAACACCAGUGGCGAAGGCGGCCUGCUGGACGACAACUGACGCUGAGGCGCGAAAGCGUGGGGAGC
rnacentral:rRNA from 1 species